GAUGAACGCUGGCGGCGUGCCUAAUACAUGCAAGUCGAGCGAACAGACGAGGAGCUUGCUCCUCUGACGUUAGCGGCGGACGGGUGAGUAACACGUGGAUAACCUACCUAUAAGACUGGGAUAACUUCGGGAAACCGGAGCUAAUACCGGAUAAUAUAUUGAACCGCAUGGUUCAAUAGUGAAAGACGGUUUUGCUGUCACUUAUAGAUGGAUCCGCGCCGCAUUAGCUAGUUGGUAAGGUAACGGCUUACCAAGGCAACGAUGCGUAGCCGACCUGAGAGGGUGAUCGGCCACCCUGGAACUGGAACACGGUCCAGACUCCUACGGGGGGCAGCAGUAGGGAAUCUUCCGCAAUGGGCGAAAGCUUGACGGGGCAACGCCGCGGGGGGGAUGAAGGUCUUCGGGUCGUAAAACUCUGUUAUUAGGGAAAAACAAAUGUGGUAGUAACUAUGCACGUCUUGACGGUACCUAAUCAGAAAGCCACGGCUAACUACGUG
rnacentral:rRNA from 1 species